rnacentral:rRNA from 1 species
GCGAACGCUGGCGGCAGGCCUAACACAUGCAAGUCGAACGAACUCUUCGGAGUUAGUGGCGGACGGGUGAGUAACACGUGGGAACGUGCCUUUUGGUUCGGAAUAACUCAGGGAAACUUGUGCUAAUACCGAAUGUGCCCUUCGGGGGAAAGAUUUAUCGCCAUUAGAGCGGCCCGCGUCUGAUUAGCUAGUUGGUGAGGUAACGGCUCACCAAGGCGACGAUCAGUAGCUGGUCUGAGAGGAUGACCAGCCACACUGGGACUGAGACACGGCCCAGACUCCUACGGGAAGCAGCAGUGGGGAAUCUUGCGCAAUGGGCGAAAGCCUGACGCAGCCAUGCCGCGUGAAUGAUGAAGGUCUUAGGAUUGUAAAAUUCUUUCACCGGGGACGAUAAUGACGGUACCCGGAGAAGAAGCCCCGGCUAACUUCGCG